rnacentral:rRNA from 1 species
GAACCAGCCAAGUAGCGUGAAGGAUGACUGCCCUAUGGGUUGUAAACUUCUUUUAUAUGGGAAUAAAGUUCUCCACGUGUGGAGUUUUGUAUGUACCAUUAUGAAUAAGCAUCGGCUAACUCCGUGCCAGCAGCCGCGGUAAUGA